UAGGAUUUGUGUUUGAGCAGUGUCAGAUCUUUUUCAGGUAUAAUCCUAACAAGUAUCGAGAUGACGAUGAUGACAGUGACAUGGAGGCCAAUUUUGAUGAUAUCUUGGCUGAGGAGAGACGCAGUGCAAAAAUUGCGCUUGAAGAGGACAGAGAACAACUACGCUUGAUUGAAGAAGAAGAAAGGAGAGAGCGGAUGCGAUUGCCAAAGAGGCAAAAGCGAUGAUAGAAGAAAUUCUGCAAUAAUAACAGAUUUGGCUGUUGAAUUAGCUCAAGAAUUGCUAGAAGAGCGAAAAAUGUGGGGAGCCUCACCCUGAUAUUACUAGAAGUUGAUUCAAUAUGUUAGUGGAUGAGAAAUGGGGCUUUGGUAAUUUUAAAUAUGCAUAUGAUUGAUUAUUUUUUGUGCCCUUCAAUUUGUUUGGGGAUGAAAAUGAAAAUGUAUAAUUAAUUUUCUACACUUCUAGUGAAUGUGGGUUCUUUUCUGUCCA